rnacentral:rRNA from 1 species
GACGAACGCUGGCGGCGUGCUUAACACAUGCAAGUCGAACGGAAAGGCCCUGCUUGCAGGGUACUCGAGUGGCGAACGGGUGAGUAACACGUGGGUGAUCUGCCCUGCACUUCGGGAUAAGCCUGGGAAACUGGGUCUAAUACCGGAUAGGAGCCAUUUUUAGUGUGAUGGUUGGAAAGUUUUUUCGGUGUAGGAUGAGCUCGCGGCCUAUCAGCUUGUUGGUGGGGUAAUGGCCUACCAAGGCGGCGUCGGGUAGCCGGCCUGCGAGGGUGGACGGCCACAUUGGGACUGAGAUACGGCCCAGACGCCUACGGGAGGCAGCAGUGGGGAAUAUUGCACAAUGGGCGCAAGCCUGAUGCAGCGACGCCGCGUGGGGGAUGACGGCCUUCGGGUUGUAAACUACUUUCGCUAGGGACGAAGCUUUUGUGACGGUACCUAGAUAAGAAGCACCGGCUAACUACGUG